rnacentral:lncRNA from 13 species
CGCUCGGCCCCUGCGAGGGAGGGAGGGGGCGGGGAGAGCGCAGGGGGCGGGCACUGCGCCGCCAGCGUAAGGCCUCCUGCGCCAACUGCGUGAGCGCGGCCCGCCGGGCGCCCGGCCUGGACCCACCGACGGCCGGGCGCGCUGAGUCCGGCCUGCAGCGGAGGCGUGGGCGGAGGGCGGCCAGGGGGCCGCAGGUGGGAGAAGGGUCGGGCCACCAGCCGGGUUCCCUCUGUCCCCACCCCUGCAGGGCCCGGCUGCCCCUCGCGGCGUUCUGAGUCCACCUACUCCCUGUGCUCCUACGUGAGAAGGUGCUUUGGGAUGGAAAAAGCAACAUUUACAGAUCACUGCCUCCACAUAGUGCUUCUGGGAACUGCCUACGUCACACUUCAGCUCCUACACCAUAUUGACGUUGAGGAUCUGCUUUGACACUGGGCAUUUCCUCGCUGUGCAUAUAUCACAAAUAUUAGAAUGAGCAGACAUAAUAUACAUUAGGAGAAAUAUUUCAGCCUGUACAUCAUUCAUCAUAACUUUAUUAAGCACCUACUGUGCACAUGCAGGAAUUUUUCUCCUCUGAGGAUAUUGUUUGUUGUUUUCCAUUUCUACAAAAAUGAAUAAAUAAAAUAUUCCAAUCUACA